rnacentral:rRNA from 1 species
GACGAACGCUGGCGGCGUGCCUAAUACAUGCAAGUCGAACGCUGACGGAGGAGCUUGCUUCUCUGGAUGAGUUGCGAACGGGUGAGUAACGCGUAGGUAACCUGCCUGGUAGCGGGGGAUAACUAUUGGAAACGAUAGCUAAUACCGCAUAACAGUAGAUAUCGCAUGAUAUCUACUUGAAAGGUGCAAUUGCAUCACUACCAGAUGGACCUGCGUUGUAUUAGCUAGUUGGUGAGGUAACGGCUCACCAAGGCGACGAUACAUAGCCGACCUGAGAGGGUGAUCGGCCACACUGGGACUGAGACACGGCCCAGACUCCUACGGGAGGCAGCAGUAGGGAAUCUUCGGCAAUGGGCGGAAGUCUGACCGAGCAACGCCGCGUGAGUGAAGAAGGUUUUCGGAUCGUAAAGCUCUGUUGUAAGAGAAGAACGAGUGUGAGAGUGGAAAGUUCACACUGUGACGGUAUCUUACCAGAAAGGGACGGCUAACUACGU